GCCCGGGCGGCAAGAGACCCUGUCUCCAAAACCAAGUUUAAAGGAGCGUGUUUGCUUACCUGCGCUCUUCAUCUGGGCUUCCUCUGGGCGCGCCGGUGCUGGAGCCGGGGGCACGCAGAGCUCCUGAGCACCAAGUCCAUGCAGACCCAAAGCCCCCGUCGGUCUCCGAGAAAAGGCAAACGGAGUUCUAUAGUUUUCCUUUUUUUAAGAAUAUUUCUAUUCCUUGGCAGCUUCGUCCAUGUCUUACAAUGCAUCGUGAUCAUAACACCUCAUUCUUAAUCUCAAGCCCAGGCCCCUGUGACGUAGAUAAAACGCUCUUGGUGCCUUGAUGGAAUUUUAAAACCCGAUAAGUUAUGCCACUUAUGUAUAAAGUUAGAGAUGAGGACAGGAUCACGUGUUAUUUGGAAAUGGGACUUGCACUUAAAACCUCGCUAAAGAAUAACACCCCCAAAAUAGCCAAAUUUUUUUGGAAUUCAUAGUAUACAAGAUUGAGCAUGAGUCUCCGUCACUUGUAUUUUCAAGAACAAGAUUCCACAUAUUUUCAUGCAAUUGUUUAGGAACAUCAAGGUUCUCGAGGUGGACCACCGAUUCUGUGUCAUCUUCACUUUGGUCCUUCCAAAAACCACUUUGUCCGUGAGAACCUUGGCUUUCACUGACCUUCAGGCUAAGACAGAUGCUAAAUACUGGAUUUAUACUCACUUCCUACUCCUGUGGUUAAUGAUGGGGGAAAUGUUUGGCUAACAACAGUGCAAAUAAAACUCAGGCGUUGAGUAAUAUUUAAAUUCUCUAAAUACCAAGGUAAAAGUAAGCCCUAUUGAAAAAUAAAACUUUUUUUUAAAGA